CCUGAGUGGAUGUAAGUUUCCAGGCCCUCUGGCUGUCUGUGCCACAGGCAAAGGGGCCUCCGGUAGCUCGAGGGCAGCCCUCCGGCAAAGAGAAGUGGAUACGGGCUGCUGGGAGUGAAGCUACCAGAGGAGAGCAGCUUUCCUUCACCAUCAUUUCCACCAAGAUGUUUCUGUCUUGGAAUUGCUUGAAAUGAAAACCCUGAAACUGUGGACCAAAACAAACUAUUCUUCAGAAAGACAGUGCCACCUGACCAGACCUCUCAAUAGAAAAGGUGAAAUAUACUUCCCUUCUCUAUCACUGUGGGUCCUGUUCAACAGACUGCUAUGGAUUUACACAUCUUGGCCUGGAGUCCUGCUUUUCCUAUCUGCUUUAAGAGGAAUAAGUUGGGUAAUUCUCAUUCCAGGACUAUGUGGAGACUCUCUAAAUGGACCAACCACAGCCUGGCACCAAGCCAAUAGGAACCAUAUCUGUCAGUGAGAAGUAAA